GAGGUCUUARCUUAAUUAAAGUGUUUGGGUUGCAUUCAGGAGAUGUAUAUUAGAAUUAUACAGGCCUUC
rnacentral:tRNA from 1 species